UUAGAUGGAGUUUCACUCUGUUGUCCAGGCUGGAGUGCAGUGGCCCGAUCCCGGCUCACUGCAACCUCCGCCUCUCAGAUUCAAGAGAUUUUCCUGCGUCAGCCUCCGGAGUAGCUGGGACUACAGGAGGGCGCAACAGCACGACCUGAAGAGAAGAGAUACACAGAAGGAAGAUGGCCACAUGAAGACACAAGGAGGAUGCCAUGUGAUGAUGGAGAUAGAAAUUGGAGUGAUGGAUCUACAAGCCAAGGACCCGAAGGAUUGCCAGCUGUCAUCAGAAACUAGAAGACAGCCCUGGAAUAGAUUCUCUCUCAGAACUCUCCAAAGGAACCAACCUUGCUGACACCUCAGUUUCAGACUUACAGUCUCCAGAGGUGUGAAAGAUUAAAUUUCUGUGGUCUCACACCACCUGGUCUGUGAUACUUUGUUAGAGGAGCCAUAGCAAACUAAUAUAGGAUCUAAUCUUGCAACAAUGACUCCUGGCUGCCAGCAGUCCCAGGUGUUCAGUCCGCACCUUUUUUUCAGAUCGUUUUUUUUCUUUUUUUAUCGUAAUCUUUUUCCAAGGGAUCCAGUUUCUUUUCUUCUAGUCUGUCCCCAUCCAGGCACUCUUAACUAUGAAUAAGAUUCAAGCUCUACCCUAUAAAAACACACAUGUCAUUGAAAAUCAAGGAUUAUUUGAGCAAUAGUGUCCAUAUUCUUAAAUAUUCCAUGACAAAAGCUACAAUGCCAGGAACACACACAUUCCUUCUGUGAAGAUACUAAAGAAUAAAUUAUUCAAUAAUACUCAUUAAAGCCUGGUAAGGUAGAAUUUAUUCAGGACCAUUGUGAUAGGUAUAAGGACCACUUCAAUGAUAUUUUGCAGUGAGAAAGAGAGAUUGAGCUCAACUGCAAAUAAAACAUGGCAAGUGUGAAUUCAUAGCCCACAAAGGUCAGGGUAGGGGUCAGUGAAUAAAAAAUUAAAGGUAAGAAGGAAUUCUGACUAAACUGACUUAUCAGGAUUUUUUCUGAAGACAGGCUAGGGUAACUAAAUAUCAUCUGGGAGAUAGUGGAAGUUGAGGAAGCUGAUCACAUAUCGAGGGUGAUCACACAUCAAAGGAAGGGGGUUAUUCUUGAUAAACUGACUUAGCAGGAUUCUUGCUAAAGCUGGAUUUUAUAAGAAAGUGCACAGAUGGGCCUAGGAAAACAUUCAGGAGACUGACUAAAGUUUGGUCAAGCAGAGAAUCUUAGCCAAAGACACACUUAACCUCACAGAGCUGUUUAACAGAGACACAUCUCUGAUAACAGCCAUAAGACUUACAUGCAUUUUUUUUUUUUUAAACAGGGUCUUCCUCUGGGAGAUCACAGCUCAUUGAAGCCCUGAUUGCACUGGCUCAAGUGAUCCUUCCACCUCGGUUAUAAUAAUAACCAAUCCUCUCAGAAAUGUGAGAAUGGUUCCUGCUUUAGCCUCCCAAGUAGCUGGGACUACAGGUGUGUGCCACCAUGCCUGGCUAAUUUUUUGAUUUUUUUGUAGAGAUGAGGUCUCACUGUGUUGUCCAGGCUGAUCUAGAAUUCCUGGGCUUCAAGCAAUCCUCCUGCCUUGGUCUCCCAAAGUACUGGGAUUAGAGGCAUGAGCCACCACAACUGGCCAGACUUACAUAUAUUUUCAAAAUAUUCAUGCAUAUAAUGUGCAAAAUAUUUUUUAUUUUUGUAUAUUUUCCCUAUAUAUGUUAAAAUAUUUUCUUAUCUUUAUGUUGUCUAUCAUGCCUAGGAAAAAAAAAAUCUCAGAAAUGUGAGAAUUGUUCCUGGUUUAAUCUCUGAGGUUUUAACUAUUUUUUUCUUUACUUCUAAAUUUAGUUUUGAAUCAGCAUUCAGUUUGCUUAAGUACCCCAAACAUUGGGACAGAUAACCUUGUACUUUUUCUCCCAAAGUGAUGUCUAAACUUGAGAGAAUUUUUAAAAUUUAUGAGUGAUUUCUCAAAGAAUUUAUCUCAUUUGAAAUUACGGAGAUCAUGCUGAUCCUAUAAACCAUUAGAUCCCAUGGAGAAAUGUUAGCUAUAGGGCUGCAGUGAUCAGAUUGCUCUAGAUGCAACAAAUCUUUUCUUUACUAGAUCAGUAACCUAACAGGUUUUGUUUCUUUCCUGGCUCUGUUUUAGCCCUGUCUCUUUUUCUACCUCAUAUCAUCCAUUCUCCAGAAGCUAAUAUUACUCAUCAUUUUCAUCACAAGUUCAUGCACUCAGGCAUGGAAACCCAAUAAUAUAUUCUGGUACCUACAUAUAACUUACAUAAUAAAAUGC
rnacentral:lncRNA from 10 species